rnacentral:rRNA from 1 species
UACGUAGGGUGCGAGCGUUAAUCGGAAUUACUGGGCGUAAAGCGCGCGUAGGCGGUUACUUAAGUCGGAUGUGAAAGCCCUCGGCUUAACUGAGGAAGUGCACCCGAAACUGAGUAGCUAGAGUACGAAAGAGGGUCGCGGAAUUCCCGGUGUAGCGGUGAAAUGCGUAGAUAUCGGGAGAAACACCAGUGGCGAAGGCGGCUGCCUGGGCCAGUUCUGACGCUGAGGCGCGAAAGCGUGGGGAGCAAACAGG